GGAGUGAGGAGUACCGGUUGUUGUUCCGUCUCCCGCCUGACGAGGUUCUUGUUCAGGAUUUCAAUUGCGCUCUCCAGGAGAAUAUUCUUCUCCAAGGCCAUAUGUAUUUGUUUCUUCAUCAUAUUUGCUUCUAUUCAAACAUCUUUGGUUUUGAGACAAAG